UGGGGAAUAUUGGACAAUGGGGGAAACCCUGAUCCAGCGACGCCGCGUGUGUGAAGAAGGCCUGCGGGUUGUAAAGCACUUUUAGUGGGGACAAAAAGCCAGGGGCUAACACCAUCUGGUCUUGAUUUAACCCACAGAAAAAGCACCGGCUAACUCUGUGCCAGCAGCCGCGGUAAUACAGAGGGUGCAAGCGUUAAUCGGAAUUACUGGGCGUAAAGCGCGCGUAGACGGUUUUGUAAGUCAGAUGUGAAAUCCCCGGGCUCAACCUGGGAACUGCAUAUGAUACUGCUUGGCUAGAGUACGGUAGAGGGAAGUGGAAUUUCCGGUGUAGCGGUUAAAUGCGUAGAUAUCGGAAGGAACACCAGUUGCGAAAGCGACUUCCUGGACCAGUACUGACGUUCAUGUGCGA
rnacentral:rRNA from 1 species